rnacentral:rRNA from 2 species
UGACGUCGACCGAAGCUGCUUGCAGUGGACGUUGAUUGACGUGAGUGGCGGACGGGUGAGUAACACGUGGGUAACCUACCCUUAAGUGGGGGAUAACAUUUGGAAACAGAUGCUAAUACCGCAUAACCAUUCAGACCACAUGGUCUGAAUGUAAAAGACGGCCUUUGGCUGUCACUUUUGGACGGACCCGCGGCGUAUUAGUUAGUUGGUAAGGUAACGGCUUACCAAGACAAUGAUACGUAGCCGACCUGAGAGGGUAAUCGGCCACAUUGGGACUGAGACACGGCCCAAACUCCUACGGGAGGCAGCAGUAGGGAAUCUUCCACAAUGGACGAAAGUCUGAUGGAGCAACGCCGCGUGAGUGAAGAAGGUUUUAGGAUCGUAAAACUCUGUUGUUGGAGAAGAACAGGGACUAGAGUAACUGUUAGUCCUUUGACGGUAUCCAACCAGAAAGCCACGGCUAACUACGUGCCAGCAGCCGCGGUAAUACGUAGGUGGCAAGCGUUGUCCGGAUUUAUUGGGCGUAAAGCGAGCGCAGGCGGUUUUUUAAGUCUGAUGUGAAAGCCUUCGGCUUAACCGAAGAAGUGCAUUAGAAACUGGGAAACUUGAGUGCAGAAGAGGACAGUGGAACUCCAUGUGUAGCGGUGAAAUGCGUAGAUAUAUGGAAGAACACCAGUGGCGAAGGCGGCUGUCUGGUCUGUAACUGACGCUGAGGCUCGAAAGUAUGGGGAGCGAACAGGAUUAGAUACCCUGGUAGUCCAUACCGUAAACGAUGAAUGCUAAGUGUUGGAGGGUUUCCGCCCUUCAGUGCUGCAGCUAACGCAUUAAGCAUUCCGCCUGGGGAGUACGACCGCAAGGUUGAAACUCAAAGGAAUUGAC